rnacentral:rRNA from 1 species
GACGAACGCUGGCGGCGUGCUUAACACAUGCAAGUGGAGCGACGAACCAGGGCUUGCCCUGGGGCAGAGCCGCGAACGGGUGAGUAACACGUGGGUAACCCACCCCGAUGACCGGGACAACCCGAGGAAACUCGGGCUAAUACCGGAUGUGAUCUUCUUCCAUGAGGAAGUUGAUGAAAGAUAGCUUCGGCUUUCGCAUCGGGACGGGCCCGCGGCCCAUUAGCUUGUUGGUGGGGUAAUGGCCUACCAAGGCUGCGAUGGGUAGCUGGUCUGAGAGGGCGAGCAGCCACACUGGGACUGAGACACGGCCCAGACUCCUACGGGAGGCAGCAGUGGGGAAUCUUGCGCAAUGCGCGAGAGCGUGACGCAGCAACGCCGCGUGGGUGAAGACGGCCUUCGGGUUGUAAAGCACUUUAAGCGAGGAGGAGGCUACUAGUACUAAUACUACUGGAUAGUGGACGGUACUCGCAGAAUAAGCACCGGCUAACUCUGUGCCAGCCGCCGCAGUAAGAC